AAAACUUUUAACAACGGAUCUCUUGGUUCUGGCAUCGAUGAAAAACGCAGCGAAAUGCGAUAAGUAAUGUGAAUUGCAGAAUUCAGUGAAUCAUCGAAUCUUUGAACGCACAUUGGGCCCGCCAGCAUUCUGGCGGGCAUGCCUGUUCGAGCGUC
rnacentral:rRNA from 1 species